rnacentral:lncRNA from 1 species
GAAAUUAAUAAUAAAUUUUUUAUAAAUUUAUUUAUAAUUAAAAAUAUUAAUUUCAAAUAAUAAUUAAAAAUACAAAUAUUUUCAAAUAAUAAUUCAAAAUAUAAAUUUCAAUAAAAAAUGGUUAAAUUCAAAAUAAUUCAAAAUAUUUUACAAAAAUUAUUAUUUUAAACUAAAAUAACAAUAAAAAAAAUCAAUCAACAUCAGCAUCCUCAUCGUCAUCC